rnacentral:rRNA from 1 species
AUUGAACGCUGGCGGAAUGCUUUACACAUGCAAGUCGAACGGCAGCACGGACUUCGGUCUGGUGGCGAGUGGCGAACGGGUGAGUAAUGUAUCGGAACGUGCCCAGUCGUGGGGGAUAACGUAGUGAAAAUUACGCUAAUACCGCAUACGAUCUAUGGAUGAAAGCGGGGGAUCGCAAGACCUCGCGCGAUUGGAGCGGCCGAUAUCAGAUUAGGUAGUUGGUGGGGUAAAGGCCGACCAAGCCAACGAUCUGUAUCUGGUCUGAGAGGACGAUCAGCCAAACUGGAACUGAGACACGGUCCAGACUCCGACGGGAGGCAGCAGUGGGGAAUUUUGGACAAUGGGCGAAAGCCUGAUCCAGCCAUUCCGCGUGCAGGAUGAAGGCCCUCGGGUUGUAAACUGCUUUUGUACAGAACGAAAAGGUUUCUACUAAUACUAGGAGCUCAUGACGGUACUGUAAGAAUAAGCACCGGCUAACUACGUGCCAGCCGCCGCGGUAA